rnacentral:rRNA from 1 species
GACGAACGCUGGCGGCGUGCUUAACACAUGCAAGUCGAACGGAAAGGCCCUGCUUUUGUGGGGUGCUCGAGUGGCGAACGGGUGAGUAACACGUGAGUAACCUGCCCUUGACUUUGGGAUAACUUCAGGAAACUGGGGCUAAUACCGGAUAGGAUCUCCUGCUGCAUGGUGGGGGUUGGAAAGUUUCGGCGGUUGGGGAUGGACUCGCGGCUUAUCAGCUUGUUGGUGGGGUAGUGGCUUACCAAGGCUUUGACGGGUAGCCGGCCUGAGAGGGUGACCGGCCACCUUGGGACUGAGGUACGGACCAGAGUGCUACGGGAGGCAGCAGUGGGGAAUAUUGCACAAUGGGCGGAAGCCUGAUGCAGCAACGCCGCGUGCGGGAUGACGGCCUUCGGGUUGUAAACCGCUUUCGCCUGUGACGAAGCGUGAGUGACGGUAAUGGGUAAAGAAGCACCGGCUAACUACGUG